GUCAGGAGAUGGACCAGAAGGGUUGUGGUAGAGGCCAGAAAACACCUGGUGUGGUUUCAUCCAGGUGAGUUGUAUCAGCACAACGGCACUAACGCAGGCCGUGGUAGGACUUGGGUUUCUUCUCCAUGAGCCCUGAGGCACAGUGCCAUAGACUGAAAAGCCCCACUUUGUCCUGGAACAGGAAAUUGGACUCACAUAACUAGUUGGUAUGCAAAAUAUGUAAGGCCCCAGUCUGCUCCGAAUUACACCCAUGCAAACCGUUGAAACUUAAAAGGGAAUUUAAAAUAUGCAUGAGUAAGGAGAACAAAUGGCGCCUCAAUUUGCAAACAGCGCUUUGAGGAGAUGCUUCAGAAGAGGUGUUGUGGGUGUUGUGUGAUUCCUUACCUGUGCCCCCAGGACGGGGAGGAGAGAGGCUCUGAUUUUUAAACCAGAAGAGGCGAAAACCAUGUUUUAUUGGUGCUUUUGGUGAAUCAAAAGGAGUAGGAGCAGCCAUUGUCGCUCUCUAAUGUUCUUAAUUAACCAUAAUUUAUUGAAAAGCACCUAUGGAAAAGUAUACUAAAUCUCAUGGCUUGUCAGAAGUCAAAUGUCGGAUUGUUUUGCCGAGAACAGUAAAUAAACUCAACAUGGAUAGACAAAAGGGCUUUGUAGAAGUGAGUGGCUGCAAUGGUGCUGCUCAGGAAGGUGCUGGAGAAGGGCCUUGCUUUUUCCUGUUCUGUUAUAAUGGGGUGGGAACUGAAUUGGCUUCGUGGCCUUCAUUGACUUGAGAGCAUGGAGCUGUGCUUCUGAAGCCUUCGUCCCAGGACAGAGCGCUUUUUGCAUACUUUAGAAAUUGUUUUGACUGUUUUCAUAUUAACUAUUGAACCACAGUGGAAGCGUAUGGAUUCAAGAUAUUUCUGGUGAUUGUGUAACUGGAAAAAACUGUCCUGAUUUUAAAGUAUUUUUGGCAUAUGAGUGAAAGUAAAUAAGCAAUUCUAGAGACUCACUGGAAAGUAAUUGCUCCUGCAGGACACUGGCUGUGCCAGGAGCUCUGGCAGAUGCACUGAGCCUUCGCUAUUAAGAUUCAAAUGAAAGCAUUUUUUAAAGCAAAAGAUCAAAAUCAAGGAUAUAUAAUCUAAAAUGUAAGGAAUUUGGAAAGAGCAGCUGCCUGUGAAGGGAAAUGUCCAACCAGAUGAGCUGGAUUAGGAGGGAGCACGGUGCAAGGAAGCCUGGCGAGCUCCAGGGGCAGCUCGGCUUGCGGUGGCAGCGGGGCUGAGGGCAGGCCGUGAUGGUGCGGGAGCUGGGGGCCGGGCCUGGGGCCUACUCUGUGGCUCUGCUGGGGACACACAAACCGCUGGGGUGACCCGGGGCUGAUCAGAGCUGCAAAUGCUGGCCCAGCUGAAUUUCUGAUGGCAAUGGCAUGUUAGACAGCAGGAGGAAGAGCAGCACCUUCUGGAACCACAGGGCCAGCGGCCUUUGGAUAGGAACAGUUUGUCCCUGCGCUUCCAUCCAUGAUUCACCAGUGUGAAGGAGUCAUCAAAGCACCACUGUCAGCGAAUGUGUCACUAGAGGAAGUGUUCUGCUUUUUUCCUAAACAAGAAGUUAACAAAGCAUUAUUUUUCACUGCCUUCACGCUCUAAGCUGGUGUUUUGGAGGCCAGAGCUCCUGUUCUUUGUUGUUGCUGUGUUCACUCAUUUCAAAGCCAUAGCUGAGUCUCCCCAGGCUGCUCUGCAGGUGACGCAUCUGUACAAAGUGCUGCUUUUGGCUUCAGCAACUUAACAGCACAUCAGUAAACAUCAAGGGGCUGUGGACAGGCAUGCUUUCUGUAGUAAAGCACAUCAGUGAUUUUGAAACUGAAGCUACCUGCAGAAAAAUCUUCAAGAGAUGAAGAUCUCCACCUCUCUCACUCCAACUCUUGAUUUUGUUUUCAUUGUUUCUUUCUUUCUUUCUUGAUUUCUUUCAACCAACGUAUGCUCAAGCUGCCCUCUUCCUGGGCUCCCAGCCACGGGACCAUGGCAUAGAAAUGGCAUUUCGUGGAGCAGAUAUAUCCCAGAUCUUUGUAGACACUCAUUUGUCCGUCAUACCAUGUCCAAAGAAGCCUUCCUGAGAUCCUCAGAAUACUUCAGUACAGGAUAACAGGUGAAAUGAAGCGCUGUUAAUGUUUCACAUUGUCUUGAGGGUUUGUAGCUGGGUCCAAUCAAGGUAGCACCAAAGUAUUAAAUCAAGUAAACGAGCAUUAGUUCUCCAUUCAUUCUAACUGGACAUUCCCUUCUCAGAUAAACCAAGAGAGGAGAGAGGCCAGCCUCUGGAGAGAGAGAAACAUGGAGAUAAAAACGAGGAUUUCAUUUGAGAGGUGCACUGGUGGAAAGCUUCAGUAGAAGGACUCUCGACUCUAGAGAUAGAGAUGUCUGUGCAGAAUAAGCUAUUUCCCUGUAGUAUCCUUCCCUUGGAGUUAAAUGUUUUACUGCAUGUUCAUUAUUUCAUUGCACUGGCACGGGCUUCCCAGAGAGCAGGAGGUGCUCGAGGCCAUGGAUGGGGCUUUGGGCAGCCUGGGCUAAAGGGAGUUGUCCUUGCCAUGGCAGGAGAUUGGAACGGGUUGGUCUGUAAGGUCCCUUACAACCCAACCAUUCUGUGAUUCUAUGACUUUAAGGAGGGGAAAAAAAAAAAAAUACACCCCAGACCCCUAACAUAGCAACAGGGGUGUGAAGAGUCAUCCUACGGGCACGGUAUGGGUUGUGCUCUGCUCUGUGUACUGGCGCUUCCUCAGCCUGUUUGGUUGGGGUUUGCCAAGAUCACAGCUGACUUUUCAACUCCUCCACACUUCGGUAUCAACCGAACAAGUCGUUAGAAACCACUGAAACUCCAACCUCUACGAAAGCAACGCUCCCACGAGCCAUGUGCUGCCAUAGGGCACCCAAUGCAGGCUCUGAGCUGACACAGCACCAACCAAGAGGUUGUGGCAGUGCUCAUUUUCAACGCUGGGUCAGGCAGUGGGAUCGGGUGCUGCCAUCUCCUCUUGGUGGUCCCUGAGAACACAAGGAGCCUUUUCUGUAGCAGUGCAAUUCUCCAGACGUUGUCACUUUUGAAACUGCUGUCUGAGAACGCACAGAGCGUGCCGCAUCUCAGCGGUGACCCUAUCCGUUGCCUGCUUGAGCCUUUGCUGCCACUGCCAUGUCUGAUCAAGGCGGGUGUUGUACAGAAACUGGUGAAAAAAGAGAUUAAAGCCCAGAUAGAUUUAGAGGUGAGUGAGAAAUUAACUCUUCAGGGCAAGGGAUGCCUUUUCUCUGUGGUGUUCAUUCACUUUGAUGCACAGGGGAGGUUUGGGACUUCUGGAUACCACAGCACAAGCCAGUGCCAAUAAAAUAACAUGGAUCAGAGCGGGUCAGUACAAGGGCUGUUCGAGGGGUGGAUGAUGUCAUAGCACUGUAAGAAACAGCAGCUCUCUGAGAUUUGCAAGCUGCAAGCAGACACAAUGGGAUCGCUGCAGGAAGCGGUGGCUGAAAUCCUCCGGGCUCCUCAUGUGGGUCUGAGGAGGAACCUCAGCACUCCUUGACUUCAGUAUCUCUCUGCCUCCAAAUUGCUCUUGGCUCCUCCAUUUCUGCAGCUGAUAAGGACAUGCUAUGAGGCAACCCCUGCAGGCACUUUGUGUUUUGAAACAUGCUGCUCAGUGAAGCAAAAUAGCUGACGUCCCUCUGCAAAAAAAAAGAGGUCCAGGAAUAAUAUCUUAGAGCCAAAGCAGGAGUCUGCCAGGGAACUAAUGCCCUUGGGUGGAUAUUACUGAUAUUGUAUUUGUUAUAUUAGGCAAGAGAGGUCAGCUUAUUCUUUAGAAUAAGUUACAGUAAACAAGCGGCGUAGCUGAGCCCUACAGAGUUUCAUGACUGAUGAGUUUAAACGUUAAGAGCUCCUAUCAUACGAAUCUUGAUCGAGGGAAAGAUAAAUGUGCUGUUUUUUAGCAUUUCACUACAAACACGGUGUUUGUGCCAACUGACACAAUGAUUAAAUAUGAUCCUCUCUUCUCAGAAAUGAGGAGAACUGUAACCGCACCGAGCUCUCCGCCGCUGAUAGAAGAUAAAGGAGUCAAAUCGUGUGUGGUUUCCUUCAGACCAAGUUUGUGGCGCAGAGUUUCAUGAAUGAUGUUGUCCAAAGUCAAAAUAAUCUGGUUCGCCCAAAGGUAUUUCUACGAGGACUGUAAGGCUAUGGAUUUCUACAGAAUAAUAGAAGAGGUCGAUUUGUCCAUAGCACCGUGCUCAGCCUUGGCCCAGUGCACAUGGAGGAUAAAUGCCCUAGGAAUUAAUAGACACUCGAUUGCUUUUGAUCUAAAGCUGGCUAAUAAGGCAAUCCAGCUUUAAAAUGGGCAUGUUUUUGUAUUAUCAUCAUUGCUAGUUAAUACACAGGGUAUUUCCUCACCACUUUGCCCCAGCCGCUCUCUCUGCUCGUGGGGGUUUUUGUCCCAUUGCUGUGUCUGAGCAGUGCCACCGAUGCCCCAGGGACGCGGGGCCAGCCCAGCUUCAUGCAGCCCCAUGGCCGAGCCCUGCCGAGGCCCUGGUGCUGGCUGAGGGAGAAAACCAAGAGCAGCUGCUUGUUUCUUUUCAAGAGUAUCAGAAAAACAAGAAGAUGGUUCCAUCCCCAUGUGCGCCGAAGGCUUUUUCAUCCUUUUCACUUUCAACCACACAAAUGGCAAUCAUUCCUCUCUGCAUUUCUCUUAGGAGCUUUUCCAGUGUAUUGCACUGAUGCUCUGCAGGUCGGUGGGAAUUAGCUACAAGGAGUCUUCCCCUGCUGUAGACCAACAUAAAAGCAGUGAUGGAGCUGCUCCCCACCAAAAAAAAGAGGCGAAGAAUUGCGGCCCUAGACUCCUCCCUGCAUCGAGGUGCUUCAUACACGGUGCUCUGCAGCCUCCCAGAGCCCUGUAGAAGGCUUGGUUUGCUCACCCUAAACAGGACUCCUCGCCCUCCCUGAGAGCAAGGCACUGCUGGGUCCACACGCUGCCUUUGUAGGAAGCGCCAACACCAACCGGUCCCGGCAUUAACGCAGCCAGGUUUGCCAUGCUCCACCAAAAGCUGCCCUGUGCUUGGCCAUGCCCCACUCCUCAAUCUCCAUUGGAUUUGUCCUGAGUCCUUCAAGCUCUGCUUUGUAGGGCUGCGUGCGGGCAGAACCCAGUUCUGCAAAUAAGCUCGCAUCACCGUGGUGAUAUCACCUCCAUGCU